UCUGCAAUGCAUGUUUGUUUUUAAGCAAUUUUAAUGUUCUUAUUUUGAUAGCAGUUAGGGUUUCUGGAAAUAAAUAGUGAGUCCCAAGUCAGAACAAAAGUGUUAAUGUGGUACCAAGUUCCUGAGUAAACAAACAAUUGCUAAACAAAAUCUUUUCAACAGCAUUGUAUGUCUGUGUCAACAUUGUGUUUCCUCUCUGAGUCAUCUGGUCAGCAGCACCCCAGCUACACAGAAGAGGUCAUCCACUUCCUACAGCUCCGUGCUGAAGCCUGGAGUUUCAUUACAGAAUUUACCACUCGAGGUUUCCUAUGAGCCGCAGGAGUUGCAUUUUUUUGGCAGGAUUAGAGACAAAAAUCAAAAGAUACUAAAUCCAGUGGAAUUACAUUGUCUGAAAAAAAAGAGCAAGGCUCUGUAAAGGAAGAUACCAAAGGAGAGCUGCUUCUAUGUUCUGAGCAAUUAUCACAGUCUUUUUUUAUUCUUACUCUCCCACUUUUCUACACCAUUCCUUCUUGUCACCUCUUUCUUUGCUGACUCUCUUCUCUCUGCGAUUUUCUGCCCCUGUUGUCCUCUCCCUGUCCCGUGGCUUUGUCCAUCACUGGCUUCCCUGCCAGCCAUGCUGAGGGGCUGCAGAGAGGGAUGUUUGACCUGGAGCUGCAGCUGGGGUUCUGGCUCUCUAUGGGUAAGUUACACCUCCCUAAGUGACACAGAGCACCACCAGAGGAUAAAGCAAAUGAGGAAGAAAAGAAAUACUGAAGAUAAAGCUAUGGGUUCCAGGAUUGGUUUUGCCAUUGUUAGCAUGUUAAUGGCUUGAAGUGCAGCUAAGUUUAAUAAAGACAGUGAUUAAUAGCAACAAUAACAAAAGAUGGGCUUCAAUCCCUAGUGGACAUGAAGCAUCCUCAUGAAAUUGUCUUCUAGGCUCCUGACGUAAGCUCAAAGCUUGUUGGCCAAACAGAGGAAGUGUUAUGAUAGGUUACAAGUGCUAGAACUAAUAUUAUAGAUAAGACUAAUAUACUGAUCCUUAUCUAGCAUUGUUCAUGCAAGAUAUCAUGUUAUUUUCAAAUAUUUUUCUGCAAUUUGGACUUAAAGAGUUACUUUUCUCAUGAUUUGCAAUAUGUCAAAUUUACAAGUGUUUUGAUCAGCUGUUAUUGUUUUAUUGCGUAUUCAAUAGUAGCUUAUGCUGUGUUAAAAGCAUAAUUUAAAAUGGGAGAAAACAUGUUUCCUUAGGAAAGGUUAUAAUGGAAGCAUUGAAAUUAGCAAGUCCAUAGGAUCUUCUUCCAAAAAAAUUAUGAAUGAGGGAAAACAAUGAAUUAUAUUAAAGACUGAUAAGUUAGCUAUAAUUUUUGCUGCCAUGAGCACUACAAAAUGAAACUAUGCACUUAUCUGUGUAGAAUAUAUAACUCUUUUCUGAGUAACAUUUUCAUGAGGAAUAAAAGUAGCAACAGUCACAAUGCAAACUCAGUUUCACAUCUUAAAAAAGUGCCUUAUGAUUUCAGCCAUUUAAAAUGGGGUUAUUACACUGGGCAAAGUAAAGCAUAUUUAGCUUUUUAAUGAGCAUGUAUUGUUUCAUUUGGAUUAAAAGAAGCCAAAGCAAGAAUACAAAAUCUUGCUAAGUCCCUUAUGAAGGCAACAGGAAUUUCAAACUGAAACAAAUCAUUAAAAGUAAAGAUGGAAAUUACUGUCCACAUGUAAAGCUCUAGUGAAAAGAGUUAACUGUGCAUUCAGCUGAGCACGUUUAUCCUGCUCUGCUGAGACAGGCUGGUAGGGCAGAAGAUUUUCAGCAUUUGUUCAUUUAAAGAUAAGGAUAACUCUGUGCACAGAGCUCUGCAAGCAGAAUGCAAAGAGACUCCCUUCAAAGUCUGCUCAAGUCAGUAAACAGACUUCUUCAGCUUUAUAAGAAUUCUUGCCCAUCCUCUUGUAAUUCCACAGGCAAACUCUGCCAAGGCAGCUACUUCUAAUUUCUGUUAAGUGAAUGAUGUCUUGUUCAGCUCAGACUGAUAAAUAAUUCUCACAACUAUGGGUCUGAACUUGCUAUCUCACAGAGACUCUGAUGCAUUCGGUAUAAGAAUCAACAUUAUGACUCAUCUGAAUUAUGUUACAGCAAAAACCUCAUUUGGUUGAUACAGAUUUUUUUCUGUCAAAAUGAAACACAAAGUAGCUCUUCUCCUGAUUUCUCUCCCUUUGCCAUUCAUUUUAUUGUGCACAUUUUUAAUAGAGAAACUGAUUUUCUGGGAAUGCUGUGUUCUCCUAGGGCCCAAAAAGAGCCAGAUGACCUUCCUUGUCUUUCUUUAUUUGUUUAAAAAUAAGUGUUCACAAAAAAAACAUACCAAUAUUAAUACUUACCAUUAAGGCAAUCAUUUCAGUUGGGAGGAAAAUCAAGGUUAGGAUCUGAGAAAACAAAGUGGAAUAUAUAUAUAUAUAUAUUUUUUUUGCCUGUAGCUUUGGAAGCUUGGAAAGUCCUAUUAUCCUAAGAAUUAAAUUGGCUUACUCUAAUGCAUACAGAUGGCAAUGCCUUGUGCUAGGUACAGCUGCCAUUUUUUUUUUGUCCUCAAAGGAGAGAGGGAAAAGUCUAGUCUGUCCACCUGCAACAAACAGUGGGUUUUCAUAACAUAAAGGUGAGCUUGAGGGUUUAUUCUACAUGGUCCCAUAUGCAUGCUUUGAGAUAUCUUUUUGUGCAUUUAAUGGUGUUUUCAACAAGGGUAUUCUGGAAGCGACAGUUCUUGGAAGGAAAAGAGAAUUAAAAUGUCAUGCUUGCUGAAAUGUUAAAGAAGUAGCUGAUGAGCCCUGUGGUCAACAAAGACUAUUUGCAGAGAAACACAGCAAAAUUAGUUUUUCGAAUACAUCUAGUAAUAAUACAAAGAGGGAGUCACUAUAAUCUUCAUUAGACAAUCUUUGAGAAGCCUAAUACAUCAAAUAGGAAUUUUCAUUUCAGUUCAUUGACUAGUCACACAAAUACUUCUGUUUUGUUUUGUUUUGUUUUUGGUGCAUGACAAUUGGUGAUUUUGCUUAAAUUGCUAUUUUCCACUCUCAAGGCAAACUCAGUAUCAUUUUCAGGCUAAACAUUGACUGCAAAAGCUGCUUAUGAAUAAAAAAAUCAGGCUUUCAACUCUGAUACUUACAACCUUUGUUACAAGUCAAAAUGUGCAGGCUGAAGUAAAUACUCAGAAGGAUGCUCAUAGAAAGCGCAAGUUGCAUAACACCUGUGAAGAGUUGCUGACAAAACUGUAAAACCAAAACCAAAAUUCCUGUGAUGUCUCUCUCAAUUUUGAUAAUAUAAACAAUUGUCAUCCAGUUAGGUGGGUUGGUGAGUGGGACUGAAUUAAAGGUGCUUGUUCUUAGAGAAUACGAGUGACCUAAGUAGGUCAUAAACUACACUAAGAUGAUGGUCACAUAAAAAAUUUAACUACUCCAAAUACAAUCUGUUUUUAUAAUAUAUAGAGAGAGAGUCUAAUUUACACAAAACUUAUGCAACCCUUAUACAAUAAAGGAAUGACCUUAUCCUGGCUCCAUUCAUGUGUGAUAAACAUGGCUGAUUAAUACAUUUCUUCUGCAGAAAACUUUGAAAUCAUUAGAUACAUAUGAUUUACUGAAAGGAAAACAACCUCAGGAGAAAUGGCAAAACUUUGCUUAAAAAUAAAUAAAUAGAUAAAAUUGCAUGUUAUAUAAGGACAGAUAAAGUUUUCUUUAAACUGUAAUGAAAGCUAAAAUGAGUACCAAAUCACAAAGUGUCUGAGCUGUGGGGUUCACAGAUUUUCUGUCUGGGUAAAUUUAGCCAAAGUCCAAUACUCAGAGAGAGGACUUUAGGUGACAAAAUGUAAGAGGAACAUCUUCUUGUCAUCAGACCUAGGGAAAACAGGAAUCCUGAAGAUUGUAUUUCUCAGGAGUGUAAGUAUGAGACUUCUUUCAACAAGCCAUUGCCAGUCAGAUUUGAAAACAAUUUUGUAUUUUUUUUCCUGUCUUUUAAAGUGCAUACUCGUAUUUGCUGCAUGUUGUGAAUGAAUAAACCACCCCCCAAACAAAGGUUACUGUCUGCUCUUAAAUCCUCUGGUCCCUUGACAUUUCUGACUGAUGGAAAUUGGAUGCAGAGGCAAGGCAAACUACUCUGGCUAAAUGCUUCUGAAUAGGAUGAUGGUCUGCUGCUACAUAAAUCCUGUGUGCUGUCAAGUCCCUGGAGCAUUCUUUGUUCUGGCCUUGGAGAGAUUUCUUGUCAGCCCACAAGACAGUAAGAAGAAAACUGCAGUUGAUUCUGUCAGAACAUCAUACUAAAUGAACAAAAUGAUGAUUCUCCUUAUAUCUACAUUCAAACUUCUUUUUCAGAUAUCCCCCAGGUUCUAGCUCAGUUAGAACAGUCUCCAGAACAAAGAGAAGUCACCUUUUAAUUAUCCAAAUGUUCUUUUCAGAGAACAGCUAUCAGUGUAAUUUCUUUGAAUGACAUAUAAUUUUUCUCUACAGAGUAUUGCAAACAGGGAGAACAUAGGACAGAUGGAGAAGAGGGAAAGGUGAUAAAAGGAACAGAAAUAUUGUGCAAUAAUUCUUCUGAAUCUUUCCUUCCUGAUGUACUGUGUUGUAAUCAUACACAACUCAUGCCACUUAACACUUGAAACUGCAAGCAGCAGAGAUUAAACAAUAAGCAGUUAUUGAGGAAGUAAAGAGUGGGGUGAUAAAGCUCGUUGAUGGGACUGUUAUUCAGGGCAUUAGAAAUGACAGCCAACAUGGAUAAAAUGUUGUAGAAGAAUCUUAUGAUACUGAAUGAUUAGACAAUAAAAUAGUACAUGAAUUCAAUAUAGUUAAUGCAAAGUGAUGCUCACAGGUAAGAUUUCUAACUUCACCUAUAAAAUUACAAGGUCUGAGCCGAUGAGGAAUUCAGGAAUGAAAUUGUGCAGUUAUAAGAGACAGUUCUGUGCAAACAUCAGCUCAGUGUUCAUUAGUAGUCAAAAGACAAAUCGAGUAUUGAAUGCUAGGAAAAAGAUAGAAAAUAAACCAGAAAAUAUUACACUACUUUAUUAAUUAAUUAUUUAUUUGCAUCUUGAAUAGCAUGGGCAAUCUCAGCUCCCCAUUUAAGUUUUAGCUAAGUAUCCAGUCCAAAUAACUCUUUGGACUGGAAUAAACCCACUUCAGAUGGACUAUGACAAGUGUGUAUAAAAUAAUGCGAGGUGUAGAGAAGAUGAGCAUGGAUCUCUUGCAACACAGGGUCUAGGAGACCAGCUAUACUACAAGCUAGCAGUUGAAAGGUUCAACAUGAAGGAGGAGAAGGUCCACAUGGCAUGUAAGUCAGCUGUGGAAUUUCUUGCCACAGGAUAUUGGAGAUGCUAAAAGUUUAUGGAGGUCGAAAAGCAAGUAGAAAAAUAUUUAGUGUGAGGGCUAAUAAGUUAAAGGAUAUCAUCCUUAGCUAAGGAAACAGUGUGUUGCAAAUUGCUGGAUUGUGUUUUGGGCGUCACUUUGUGCUUACCUUGUUGUUAUCUGCUAGAGAAAAGACACUGAGCUAGAUGGAGCAGUGCUGUGGUUCAGCACUGGUGUUUUCUUGUUCUCUUAUGAUAAAUGUGUGGUUACCAAAGAGGAAAUGAUGAAACUUCAACUCUACUGAAACUAAUAAUCUCCACUGUCUUCAGCAGGAGUGUGAAACAAAUGUCAUUAAAAGGUAUUUUUUGGAAUAAAAGGAAAAAAUAUUCCAAAAAUAUCUCAUUCAACUACAUAUAUAUAUUUGCAACAAAAGUCUACACAUGGUGGUAAAUCACAGAAUCACAGAAUGUUUGGGAUUGGUAGGGACCUCAAAAGAUCAUCUAGUCAAAUACCCUGCCGGAGCAGGAACACCCAGAUGAGGUUACACAGGAAGGUGUCCAGGCGGGUUUUGAAUGUCUCCAGAGAAGGAGACUCCACAACCUCCCUGUGCAGCCUGUUCCAGUGUUCUGUCACUCUCACUGAGAAGAAGUUUUUUCUCAAAUUUAAGUGGAACCUCCCGUGUUCCAGUUUGAACUCAUUACCCCUUGUCCUACCAUUGGUUGUCACCGAGAAGAGCCUGGCUCCAUCCUCGUGACACUCAGCCUUUAUAUAUUUGUAAACAUUAAUAAGGUCACAGUCUCCCCUUCUCCAAACUAAAGAGACCCAGCUCUUAUAGAUUAUAGAUUGAUGCAUCACAUUAUAGAGAUGGAGGGGAAGUGUGCAAAGUCUGACAUAAGGGUACUUUGUUUCAGUGUCUUAAACUCAGGAUUGCAUCUUAGAACAACUUUCUAUUUUUGGAGGAGCUAGGACCAGAGUGUGAGACAUGGACAGGUCAGGUCAUUUGAAAUAUUUGCUAUUGAAGCUGGGAUAUUGAUUCAAUUUGUCUGAGAAGAAAGGUAUUUGUGGGGGUAUGUAUCUGUAACUGCAGUUUAUCGCUUCUGUUUUGCCCAAAAGGAUGUUCUCUGCUUUACUUUUUGAUGUUAAUUUACUGCACCUCAGUGAAUCUAAGAUAUGAGGGUUUUUUUUCUGACAUUUUAUCAAGUUAAAUGUGAUUCUGAGAACUCUGAGAAAAAUCAUGACCUAACCUUUUCUAGCAUAAUGAUAAUAAUGAUACCAUUUACAGGAAAAAUUGCUUUAAAUUGGUUAGAUAACACUUACAUUAAAAGACACCUUACCAAUGUGGGGGAAGAAAACUCAGAGUACAUUUUCAUAGCUAAUUUUGGUUAAAUAGGCUAAUGAAUGUUUUUUACAUGGCAGCCAAGAUUGCCAUGUGGCUGUAAUCGCUGCUGAGAGAAAAUGCUGCUUGUUUUUCCUUUUCAGUUUGUUCCUGGAUUCUGUGCUUGGCUUUAUAUGGAUCCUGUACAUGGUGUCAACAAAUUCAAAAAUGAUUUGUCUGGUGCCUAAGCAACAGAGCUCCUAAUAUGGUGCCAUGUGUCUGGCCUAUUCAAAAGGUGGAUUUGCAUUUACUUCAUAGAUUUUUUCAUGACAUUUUCUGUGUUUCAGAGGAGAGAGUGCGACAUCCCCAUAAUUCAUCUCAGCAGAUCUGGGGUUCUGAAAAACAAGUAUCAGUGGUGAGAUUAAAACCUGGGUGUACCCAGAGUACCCAGCCCUGCCUCCAUCUGGCUGCUGUGCAGAAGUUAAGCUUGGAGUUGGCUGAGGGCUGCACGAAUCCACCAUGAUUGUAGCAGCAUCUUUGCCAAAGCCUCCAUUUUCAGCACUGAAGAACUGACUACCUACUCUUAAACUUUUAGGCAUGAGAUUUAUGCUUUGCUUCAUUCCUUUUAGAUGCUUGUUUACAGUCCAAAGUUCUUCCAAAACCUUGAGUUUUCCUUAGAAUAAGGGCGUCAGAGAAAUAAUUGCUGAACUCUUUUCCCUUGCCUCCUUCUUGGAGCCCUGCAGGAAUACUUCAGUCAUGUUUUCAUGACUUUUCUCUGUAAUUGCCAGUGAUAAUAACUUUUUCUUUUUUUUUAAGAAUAAAGGAAUUGUGUCUUUAUAAUCAACUGACAGCAGGAGCUGGGGGUUCCAAAAAAGCAUCAGACAGUGAGAUUCAUGAUAAAAAUCUGCCUCAGGAGAGCUGCUUUCAUCUUUUACUCAGUCCAUCUUUUUCCUUGCUUACAGGUUGCAGUAGUGGAGCCCUGAAUAAGCCUCAAAAAAUAUAUAUAUAAAAAAAGACUUUUAAUAUGACCCAUCAUCACUGCAAAUAAUACUGUUGGUGUGGCAGCAAUAUGUCUAUUCUCUCUGCAGAGCUUUCAGAUGGCAGCACUUUUUCUGUUCUUGCUGCAGAGCUUUCAGAUUUGAACUGUCCUGCAAUAGAAGCUACACACGGUGUGAAACAGACUUUGGUCUGAAACGACAGGGGUUGUAAUUAAACUUAAUUGAAACCAUGUCUGUGAGACAGAAGGACAAAUGUCUUUAGGAGCAUCAUCACAGCUGCAUCUCUUCUGAGUAAAGAUAGCACUAGCGAGGGGAAAAUAAAACCCAAUACCAGAUACUGUGGGUAAGCUAAUGCUGUGUAAUGCCCCAGAUUGUACUGCAGGAAGAUUUAUGGUAGAACUAUAAAGACAUUUUUUUUUAAGUAUAAAAAGCUAUGAGGAUGAAUAGUAGUUUAAAAUAUAUGUAUUUCCUUGCUGUUGGUUCUUUACAGAUUAUUUCACUAUAUUUUUAUUGCGUAUGUCUAGCCACAGGGAGAAGCUGAUUAAGAGGUCUAAUUUUUCCUUAUCUCUUCUCUUUACUGCUUGACCUUCCUGUUCAAGCGUAUUGGGUAUUUCCAACUGAGUUUCUAUUAUGAAAUCCAGAUUGUCUUCUGGAAGUACGUUGGUUUUGAUGAACUACAAGAGAAACACAGGUGGGUUUCUGAUAGCAACAAGCCUGAGUUCCUGCCAGCUCAUUUUAUGGGCUGCUAGUGGCUUCAAAGCAACUGUGUUUUGCAGAAUCUACCAUUUGGAGAAACUCUGUCAGGCCAGUGCCCUGGAGCUGGAUUUGUUGUGAGCUGGCAGACUCCCUGCCAUACAUGCAUGAACCAUAGGAGUCUUGGCUCUGUUUUGCAGGUGGAAUCUGAAGUCUUCAGGCUCAGCUUCCUUUUCACAUGACAUUCUUUAAUCUGAAGUGGCUCCUAAGAGGGAGCAGGGAUCCCAGGAGCACCAUCUCCUCAUGAGUGGUGGUCUCUCAAUGCUAGAUGGGUGGUCAACAACCAAGUGCAGAGCCAUUGUGUUGUUCAUCAGACCUUUUGAUAUUGUUGUGGCCAGAGGGACAUGGUAAGACUGAGAGUAAUGGGAAGGUUGUAGCACGUUGUGCAGAAUUAUUGUGAUGAGCUGGGCAAAAGCAAAUCUCAUUGCUCUAGUCUUCUGCCCCUGCAGCAAGGAGCCUGAAAGCCUUGAGGACUUUAGCUCCUGGCUCUGCAAUGUGAUGUCUGGCAACCUCGGAGGUCCUCCUCUGAGCUGGUGAUCUUGUGGCUUCAGACUCAUUGCUGUGGAGAGAAGGGAGCUCAGCUGUAAAUACCAGAACUCCGAACUUGCUGCAUUCAGAAAGCCCAUGCCAGGUACCUCACAGCUUGUGCACCUUCCAAAUGGUGUUGUGGGUGUCUCAGAUGGUGCUGGGCACAUAUGGUUGUGCUGCAGAAUUUCACCCCAAUUUUUCACAACGAAAUAUUUUGAUCCUUUCCAGCGGAAUCUUACUACAGUUAAUUUGCAAGUGAAAUUUCCACUUUCUGCUUACCAUUUCAUUUUGAAAGGAAAAGAGAACUUUCUCAGAAUUUGAGAAGUCUCUGUAAAAUGGAAAUACUUCCAUUAGACCAGGUCGGCAUUGGCUUUUGAUCAGAAGGGACCUGUAUCCUUUCUGACUCCUUCAAACCUCUGCUGAUAGAAUCUCCUUGGCUUCUCCCAGAGCAUCCCUCAGAAUACUGAUGCUCACAUACACUGUCUCAUACCCCGUUAAUCUAGUUCCUUGUCUAAGACACUUCACAAAUUAUUGUAAUAUUGCCAUUUUCAUUCAGAAAUAUCUAAUUGUGUUAACCCUGCAGCAUUGGUUUCACUGAUGAGAUCUAUCUGAUCCAUUUGAAUUCUUGUCACUCAAAUACCAUCCUAGGUUGCCUCUUUCUGAUGAAAACUUUCAGCAGAGUCACUUCCACCCUGCUGUUGCUCACUCCUAUAAUUUAUCAACAGUUCUUGUAAUUAUCCUAUAAUGCACAUUUAUAAAAUGCAUAUAAGAACUCCAGUUGUGUAAAUAUUUGGUUUAUUUAAAUGCAGCUCAUAAGUACUGCAUUUUUCUUCUUCCUAGUUGUUUGUGUCAUACUUGUGUUGCUUUGAGGAGAAAUUAUGCUCUAAUAUUUCAGGACAGGGAACACAUUUUCUGGGUUGGCACGGUGGGUCCCAAUAUUGCUGAAGACCAGGAGGCAUUGCUAUAACAUAAAUAAAUAAUAACAUCUCUCAAAAUCUUUUCAUCACCUUAAUGGCUCUGUGAUCUCUGUGCAUUUUUGUGAUUGCAGUAAGUAGUUGUAGAAAGCAUUGUGAUAACGUCAAUAGAACCAUGGUAUGGUAAUGUAAAAUUAAUGAGCUAGAUGGUAAUCUUUUUAGGCAAAUUGUGUUCUUUAAUACAGCACACCCUCUCAAUUAGUCUGUUCUCAGGAGCCAAGGAAUCAGUGUAUUGUGUGUGAAGUGCACAGUAAAAUUGACUUGGUUUCUCAGGAAGAUCAACGUAUCUGAUAGUCAAAAUACAAUAACCUUAUAUGGAACGCAAUGUUAUAGUGAAAAGCAUUAUAGAGGCAAUUCCUGGGACUUUCACGUUUAUGUUUCCAAUAGCCCACAGGUAUUUGUUAGUAAAGGGAAGGAGAUUUCAUUGACUUUUGUUAUGAAAACCAAAAUAAGGAAGCUGAGCUGAUGUCUGCUGAAAGCCUGCGCUCUGCCGAAGCACUCAUCAAGUCAUUAAUGAAAGGUAUGGUUAGCAGAGGGUGUGAAGAUCUGUUUCAUACUCUCUAUGGCAGUUACCUUUCAAAUCACUAAGGUCAAGAUUCAGACUUUCUUACCUGGUGCAACUGAUAUGUGAAUCACUCCAUAAUAAACACUACGAAGCACAAUAUCAAGUAGAAAAGGGAUGUGAUGUGCAGUCAUGGCAACCGACCUUCCACUAGACUCAUCAACACAAAAAGGCUGGAGACAAAGGUUCCUUGGUGGAGUGAAACCUGGGGGUUGUGCAGUGCUGACAAUGAGUCAAACGAUGCUACCAGAUCUGGUACUUGCAGAGCACCGAGCAGAGUUUCUUUCAGUUUUACCUCUCCUGCCAGUUUAGCUUGUAUGUUUCAUGCUCUGAACAACAUGGCCACACACAAGUAUCAUCAACACGGAGGAACUACAAGCUGUUGUAUAAAACUCACUGCAGUAGCAAAAUACAUUUGAACUUAUAGUUCACCCAGAGAAACUUCCAUUUUUUUAAAUGAGGUCCAUGAGAAUAUGAUAAAGAUUGUCAGAUUUGGGUCAUUAUUUCUGAUGAAGGGGUAGGAAAGAAAUUCAUUAAUGGAACGAUUUCUGGAGGCUAGGACUUACAUUCAGUUUGCAUCAUAAGAGAGAUUCAUUUCACUUCAAACUAUAGCUCAGUGGACAUUAAUCUAUAUUACAGUUCUGCAACCAGUGAAAGUAGCAAUUUGUGUUUGGGAUUAGAAGACUGGCAAUAUAGCCAGUCAUGGGUCAAACAAGUAGUAUGAAAAUUUUUUUAUUUUCUGAAAAUUUUGACCAGAUGUUUAUUUCCUGAAUAUUUCAAUUUAAAAUAAUACCUCCAGAAAAGUUGAGAAAGGUGGAUUGUCUUGCAUUUUAUUUUAUAAAGCAACAUUAAAUGUGUCCUGAUUCAUUCGAAUGCUUGAGGAAAGACACCCUAGGUUACAGAAGUGAGGGGCUGAUGUUGACUGUAGAGAAAGGCAAAGCUUAUCUUCUAUUUUAAACCAUUAAAUGCUAAGAUCUCAUUCUAACACUCACAGAAAAAGCAUCUCCACAAGAUCAAAAUAGCAAUAAUGGUAGAACAAUGUUAAAGAAAUAUCAACCCAUAUUUUGCAUUCUCUGUCCCCAAACUAUUGAAAGAAAAAAAUACGUGCUCUGUUUGAAAAUUACCACAGUGGUCAAAAACAUGUUUUAUGUUUUCCCUCAUGUUCUUUUACAGUUUUUUUUUGUUCUGUUUUCUCUUGUAUCAGAUGAUUAACUCUAAGCCUUGUGCUUCUACACUGAUGAAAUACAAUUUACCGCAGAGACAUUACUUGGAGAAUAUCCAUAUUGGCCAUUCAGCAAUGUGCUUUUGUUCAUUUCAACUAACAGGUAUCCCUUUACAUCAUAAGCAAUUGUAGUCUUCAGUGUUAAUGGUGUCUACAUUAAUAAAGUUCACUUUAUGAAAAAGCUACUGGACUGUGAUUUAUUUUAUUUAUUAACAGUUUUAUGGAGUCUAUUUUCAUCUAAGUCUUCAGCAGUGGAUAAACAAAGGAGCUAUUGAUUAUAUACAGAAAAGUUUCUGACAGCUUCAAUUAGAGAAAUCUUCCUUUGUUCAAAUGGCAAAUCAUAUCCCUGGAAAAUUUCCUACCUCUUUGGGUUUUGUCUGAAAGUUAAUUUAUCAGUUGGCAUACCACUGGGUCCAAACCUGCUUUUACUGAAGUAAGUGGGAAUUUUGCCAUUGCCUUCAACAGGAGCAGGUGCACGCCCCUAAUGAGGUGUGUAAUGGAAAUGGUGUACACACAAAAACCUGGACACAGUCAGCAUCAGAAACACUGGAGAAGAAUAAUAAUUUCUCAGGAUCUCAGAGCAUGUGAACAACAUGUUGCAGUGACAUUUAAGCAUUGACAAGAAAAGUGAAGAGAUCAAGUGAAAGAAUAGAACUAGACAAGAAGAUAUUGUCACACUGGAACAAUUCACCUCGUGCUUGGAAAAAUUUGUAAAAACCUUGAUUAGGGAGGGAAAGGCACCCAUGAUAAAUGAGAGCACCUAAGCCACAUUAGAUCAGCUGAUAACACAGUCAUCUUUGCCAAAAUCCCUGAAGACCUUGAAGCACUGAUGAGAGGAUAAAUCGUGAAGAGUACAGCUUGAGCAAUUAGGAUAAGAAGAGCUGAGUUGUCCCUAGUGAAACCUGACCCCCAGCUUUCACCCUGUAUUGAAAUCGAAUAUGACCCAAACCUUUGCUGAAUUAUGGAAAAAAAGGCAAAAGAAGUUUUUCACCUCAUUAUUUCUCAUUUCAUUUAGUGUAUCCAGUAAAGUGUGCUGUGAAUAAUCUCAGACUGUUAUCAACUAAAAUAGCACCAGAACAGCAAGACACUGUGACUUUAUCUGCCAGUAUUGCAUCCAGAGCAAUUAGCCCUGCUUCUCAGAGGUGAGAAAGGGCAUGUUAAUGAGGCUGAGUGCAGUGUUGCGCUAAUCCCGUGGCACCAAUUCUGUGAAUCAAGUAAGGUACUUGCUUUGUGCUGGUCUGCUCCAUGGAGAAGUGUCAGAUCUUGU